rnacentral:pre_miRNA from 1 species
AGCAAGAUUGCUGGGUCAGAUGGUAAGAGUAUGUUUAGUUUUGCAAGAAAUUGUCAAACUCUUUUCAAAAGUGGCUGUAGCAUUUUGCAUUCCUACCAGCAAU